rnacentral:rRNA from 1 species
CUAUUUCAGUGUAGAUUCACGAAUAGAGUUUGGAAUGAGAUUACCAUUUGGCUGGGAAUCCACGACUGCUCACCAAUGAUUUGGCGAAAUGAAGUUUCGGUUCGAAUUUGGUGGCAAAAGGCGGUGAGCAACGCGGAUCAUAACAGAAAGACUCUUGGCUCCAUUAUGAUGCUUGUCUCAUGGGAGAUAUGGAAAGAACGAAAUGCCAGAAUUUUUCGCAACGCCGUGACUCCGACCAUAAUUAUCGUCACGAGAAUUAAAGAGGAGGCCUGCCUGUGGACUUUGGCUGGGGCCAAGCAUUUGAGUAGGCUCAUGUUGCAAGAGUAG